AAAAAAUCCGUUUUUUAACGACACGGAAUCGGAUCAGUAUCAGUUCACUGGUGAAGACUGUGUUGGACUAACUUACAUGAAUGACCUUGGGGUAACUAGCAGCCGUCAAUCCGUCAUAGUGCCCCUAGCGGCCUGACGGUGGAAUAGCUAAAAACCUCAUUUUGAGCACCGUGGCACCGGCCAGCCUGACGAUGCAGAACAGAGAACACCUAAAACCGCAGAAGACGUCAGAAUUUUCUUUAGUCAAAUAGUCGUAACGACGUAACCUAGAAAAGUCGGUUAGGAUUUCAUUUAAGAAUGUGAUAAAAAGUUUCAGCAGUUUGUUUGUUUGAUCAAUGAUGAAUUUGUUCUUUAAAAUAAGUAGAAACAUGCAAAGAAUGCAGCUCUCUGUGAGUGUUUGUGAUUCUGGCUUACUUGCAACUCAGUUUACUCAUCCCCUUUGCUUCAUGUUGGUUGGGGUAAUCAAGUUGAUAUAGAUAGCUGUAACUUUAGUGAGAAUGUGGAUCAUAAUGAAUUGCUAAUCAAUUAGUGUACUUCGUGAAGACGAGAUAUACAUUUGGAGGUGAGAAUAUUAAUUUGUCGAUUUGUCGUCUCUUGCUACCUGUACCGGCGUUGAGUUUGCUGCCGUUCCAUAGACUUGAUCCAUUGGUAAAACUGAGGAGAGGUUGCUGAAAUUCAAGACUCGUCAAUAAAUUAUGUAGAUGUAGACAAAUUACAGGUGCAUAUCUGGGCUCCCUUCUUCAGUGGCCCCGUUUCCCUAAAUAACCACUAACCAACGCCCGCCGGUGGUCACUCACUCGCUGCGACAACCAGGAGGAAGGGAGAUGUUUGGUCGAACGGGGACUUGCAAGGCGCAUGAUUCGAUGAAAUCUGUUGAAGGGUCAUGAGUCUAGCCGGAAGCCUACUAUGAUGCAUUGCUCUCAUAAUAACUUCUCUUCAGCUCUCUUCGCUCUUUUUCCGGGUUCUCUAAACCACGGCCGGGUAAUCUCCCUGGUAGAGUCAGUCGGGCAGUGUCUCCCCCUGCUUGACUGACUGCAGUUUUACCGGACGGUUUGUUUAAUAAAUAAAACAAGUAUAAAAACCAUAUAAUGUUUUCAUUUUAUAAAUUAUUAUUCAUUAAUUAAAUAUAUAUAGAUAACAACUUGAUUAACAAGCAUAUUUAUACAACAUUGUUUAUUAAACAGACCGUCCGGUACAAACUCUUAGUUAGCACUAUUGCUCAAAAACUGAUUCUCUUGAAUCAGCAGACUCGGAGAGUUUAUAGCGCCGUCAAGGUAGAUAUUUCUGAAUGGUACCCGUCUUGUCAACUGCUAAUGAUUCGUUCUUGGUUUGACGGAAGCUGUGUUGUGUUUGUUGAUCGUCUCCACAUGCACGCGAUAAUCAAGACCAGCAACGUCUUGAUCAAGAAGAAGAAAAGAACGGAGAAGCAAAGAACGACGAUGUAAAUAGCGGGUUGGGUACCGCUAAAUUCAUUCUUAGUUGAAUGUCGAAUCGCUAAUACCAUUGUUGGUUAUGGUAGAACAGUUUUCCAUACUGGUACGCUGUAUGACGUCGAGCAUUGCCAAAAUGGAAGUGCUCUUUGAAGAACUGAGCGUCUAAAUCUUCUUCAGUCAGAUGAAGCUAUCGGAUUCGGAAAUCGUUGAAGAAGCAGAGGACAUCACAGCUGAAAAAAAAAACGUGAGUCAAACUCCUGUGGUUAAGUUCUGCAGCUACUCUCAAAAUAUUUUGUCUUGUUUGCUCGUGUUGAUUGUAGACUGCUUUUAAAUUAUCUAUCAGUGAAGCCCUAAUAAGAGGUCCAAGAGAAAUUUAUUGGGGUCAACUGAUACCAUACCACGUACUAAAUCGUUAAUGGUUUUCAGGUAAAAAAUAACCAUGAGAAUAUGGGGUCGCAGAAAUAGAUGUCAACUGGUGGAAAAUAAGAAGAAAUUGUGCCUGUUGCACAUCGAUAUUAUUGGCCUUGAUUCUUAAAGGUGGCUUGGCUAAACUUUCGACGGUUAAACUCUAUUUAAUAAAUAGAUAACAUAACAUUUAGCUAAUUAGGAGCUAGCUUUUAAAGGAUUAAAAUUUUAAAAAAAAUUGCGUUAGAAUCUUGAAUAAAGAAAAAGUCUUAUCAGAUCCGAGAUUGACCUGACAAGUCUAUAGAAUGUCUAUGAUUUAACAAAUCACGCCACUGAAGCACACCUUCUUACCUUUAUUCAUGCUCCGGUUUCGGUAGUCACUUUUUAUGUAGCCUUUUUAUGCAGAAAGAAGAAUCACAAACCAAGAGAAACAUUCAUUUAUACAUGAACUAUAAACAGAUUCUACAAACCGGAACAUUUAGAUAGAGACCACUGCUGUUAUUUAUUAAUUUAUGUUUUAGGUUUAUGACUAUCUGAAUGGCUAAUACUGAUCGUUCUUUUGAAUUACGUUUAGCAAACUGAAAAGGAUGUAGAUGGACUUAUUCUAUGAUUUUAUCCCGUCCCGAAUGGUGUUAGCCAUUAGGUGUUACUAGUUUGAGCGGUAAGCACCUGCGCGCGCGGAAUUUUUCUUUGCACGCGAAAUCUAAAAUGCGGGUCGAAAAUUUAUGCUCGCGAACGAACAUAAAGAUAAAAUGCGCGCAAGGCAAAGGGAAAAUGCGCCCUUGGUUACCGCAUUGUAAACUAUCCUAACCUUACCUAACCAGCUAACCUAACUUAACCAAACCUAACAUUUUCACCUUCCCCGCGUUUUAGUGCGUUUACGCGAAAAAUCAAGAAAUUUUCGACAUUCAUUUUAGUUUUUCUCACACCAAAAAUAACUACGCGCAUAUUAGUGUCCGCGCGCGCGAAAACUAGUAAUACCCCUCAAGACUGGUACACAGUCCAUCUGCGUCCUUUUCAUAAUGCUAAACAUUGUUCAAAAGAAGGAUCAUCAAUGUAACACCCACUGAUUCAUUUGAUACCCCACCUUUCAUUUCCUUUCCAGUCUGUCGACGGGGUUCCGUGACCAAUGAAAUCAAACAAGUAAUCAAUUACGAAAUUAGGGAAACAUGGCGAAAGUAAUCAUGAAUUGGAGUUGUUUGACAGACGUCAAUGGGGCAUCGAGCCGAUCCUCUCUUGAACUUGGAGAACCCACCAGGAAAAGAGGUAAAAUUAAACUAAGGUUUGCGCUUCAGAUCAAGAAUUGACAACCGUGCCAACCAUCAUCAGUUCGAAUCCAUCGUUAUCUAAAAAAAAGCCUAUCUAUAAUUUACAAAAUUCAACAUCGAAAUCACUAUCCAUAGAAAAUUAAGCCACAGGGCAAAUCAAGCCAAGACGUUGCGACGUCAUCGGAGCUUCCUUUUGCCCCAUCUUCCUUGAUCAUUCUUUAGGCUUCGUUUUAACACAUUUUUUUUCAAUCGUCCUGAAUAACCGAUCAAUCUGCUAUUAAUUUUUUGUUUACGAUAAUGUUACGAUUAUUGCCUGCCUUGACCGUGUUAACUGUACAUAAUCUGGUUGUGCUUACCUCUGCUGUUUGAUUCUUUUUUAAAACUAAAUUAAUACGUGUAAUACAUUUAUAUACGCCUUUA